CUAGCCUUUAGGCAUUGUUCAGAACUUUCCUCCAACCUUAUGCUUCUCCUGUUGGAACAGAUAUAUUUGUAAUGUCUUCAACCUUUACAACAAAACGCAAAACUGAAUGUCAUCUGGUACUUACUCCUACAAAGUCACCAUCUACUAAGAAAGGAACCUGUGUGCAUGUGUGUGUGUGUGUGUGUGUGAGUAACACAUCUUCUCUAGUGAGGAUCUUGGUGAGGAGCCAGGGCAGUCAACACAGGUGGAGAUCAUCAGCCUCAUCAGGGGUUGGGAAUAAAGGAGCUGCAGAUUCUUCAAUCAGUGCUGAAGGAUUAACGCUACCGGUUUCAUCAAGGAAAUUUCCAAGAAGGAGUUGUCCAUCUGUUUUCACCCUCCAAGUCUCUUACCUGCGAAGAAUCUGCCUGCCUGCUCCGCCCAUUCCCAGCCAUCAUUUAACUCCAUCUGGACCUUUGGCUCACCAAACUCCACACGGGUUUCAGGACAACCUUCCCCCACAGUUCACCAGAACCGUCAUAUGAGUGCCGCUGUUUGUGGAUCACUUCCAUUAUCCUGAAACGCUACGUGGACCUGUCAAUUGUGUUCGAUCUUUUGUUAAUAAAUCCCUUUUCCUAGA